rnacentral:rRNA from 1 species
AACGAACGCUGGCGGCGUGCUUAACACAUGCAAGUCGAACGGAAGCACCCUACUUUUUUGCUGUGCUCGGUGGCCAAUCGCGGACGGAACAGGUGAAUAACCUACUCUUCUUUUUCGUGUGCCUUCACGUAGCUGAGCCUACUACCAUAUAGCAUCUCCUCUUCCGGUGUGAGCAUUGGAACUUUUCACCUUUUGCGAAUGAACUAGCCGAUGUCGGAUUAGCUAGUUGGCGGGGUAAAGGCCCACCAAGGCGACGAUCCGUAGCUGGUCUGAGAGGAUGAUCAGCCACACUGGAACUGAGACACGGUCCAGACUCCUACGGGAGGCAGCAGUGGGGAAUAUUGGACAAUGGGCGCAAGCCUGAUCCAGCCAUACCGCGUGGGUGAAGAAGGCCUUCGGGUUGUAAAGCCCUUUUGUUGGGAAAGAAAAGCAGCAGGUUAAUACCCCGCUGUUCUGACGGUACCCAAAGAAUAAGCACCGGCUAACUUCGUG